rnacentral:rRNA from 1 species
AUAGUAAUUAGUCUUUUAAUUGGAGGCUGGAAUGAAUGAUUGGACGAGAUAAAUUCUGUCUCAAUUAAAUUAAAAUUUGAAUUUAAUUUUUGAGUUAAAAAGCUUAAAUAUUAUUAUAGGACGAGAAGACCCUAUAGAGUUUUAUAUUUUAUUUUAAAAUUUAUUUUAAAUUUAAUAAAUUUAAUUUAAAAUAUUUUGUUGGGGCGAUAGGAAAAUUUAAUAAACUUUUUUAUUUUUUUUACAUUAAUUUAUGAAUUUAUGAUCCUAAUUUUUAGAUUAUUAGAUUAAAUUACCUUAGGGAUAACAGCGUAAUUUUUUUUUAGAGUUCAUAUUA